rnacentral:lncRNA from 1 species
AAAAAAACAUUAAAGUAACUAAACAACUUUAACUUCAGAUAGCUGGGUGUGGCUUCCGGACCCAUAUGGUGGAUACACAGUUCAAGGUGCUUAUAGUUUGUUAAUCUCUCAGGUACCUCAGGUCGUAGACUAUGCUCUGGAUUUGGUGUGGCACAAACUGGUUCCCUUGAAGGUUUCCGUUUUCGCGUGGAGGCUCAUUUGUGAUCGUUUACCGACAAGGACAAAUUUGAUUUCUAGACGGGUGUUGUCGCCUGACAUGUCCUCGUGCGUUGCUGGUUGUGGUCAUCCCGAAUCGGCACAUCAUCCUUUUUUAUUGUGUGACACUUUUGGUUCUCUGUGACAUUUGGUGCGAGAUUGGAUUGCUUGCUAUGGGGUGGACGCAGAUAAUAUUUUCGAUCAUUUUUUACAGUUCACUCAUUUGACAGGUGGUGGUGCUGUUAGACGUUCUUUUAUGCAACUAAUAUGGCUUCUAUGUGUCUGGGUUGUUUGGAAUGAACGAAAUAACCGUCUGUUUAAUCAUGUUGUUACCCCCAUCCCUUGUUUACUUGAUAAGGUUAAGUUGAUGUCUUUAGGUUGGCUGAAAGCUAAAAAAGCUACCUUUGUUUUUGGAACUCAACAGUGGUGGUCAAGCCCUCUUGUUUGUUUGGGUAUUGGCUAAUGUUUUUCAGUUGUGUCUUGUUUGUAACCGUUGUAACUCUUAGUUUCUGAGGUAGUCUCUAAGGCACACCUUGUGCGUUUGGGACUGCCCUAUUUCGUAUAUAAUUUUAUUUUGGCUUGUUC